rnacentral:lncRNA from 1 species
UUUCACUCAACAUCAACUCCUUUGUCUGCUAUUGUGCGACUUAGAACCGAAAAGAAAGAGAUAAGUUGAUAUGAAAUUGAUUUAUCUUGGUGGAGAGACACUUCAUACUUCAGCAAGCUUCAUGUAUAUGGAGGUGUAAAGGGGUGGGUACGAGAAAAGUUAUCCAUUUGGAGAUAAGUCUUUAUUUGGCCUAUUGGUAUUUCCUUUUUUAAUU